rnacentral:misc_RNA from 1 species
AAGUCGUAACAAGGUUUCCGUAGGUGAACCUGCGGAAGGAUCAUUAAAAAGUUUGGCUCUGACCGACUGCGAAAAGUACGAGCCGUCAGGAACUCCCGUCGGCGCCCUCCGGCCUGCCCGUACCUUUGAGGCAUGUGCUCUGAACUGGAGUCGGCGUACAAAUCAAAUUGACAGGGGGGAUUGGCUGGCCGUACCUACGCGUCAACCCUCCGUGAAACUUCCCCUUUGCUUGGGCAGCACACCCGCGCUUGGCCGCGGGCCGGUCAGUCUGCCCGAAGCAUCAACCCAAACCAAUUGUUUGAACUUUUGUCUGAAUCAGUCUUAAAUGACUUUUAAAACUUUCAACAACGGAUCUCUUGGUUCUC